rnacentral:rRNA from 1 species
AAGGCUUGACAUAUUCGAGAACGGGCCAGAAAUGGUCAACUCUUUGGACACUCGUUUACAGGUGGUGCAUGGUUGUCGUCAGCUCGUGUCGUGAGAUGUUCGGUUAAGUCCGGCAACGAGCGCAACCCUCGUCCUAUGUUGCCAGCACGUAAUGGUGGGAACUCAUGGGAUACUGCCGUGGUCAACACGGAGGAAGGUGGGGAUGACGUCAAAUCAUCAUGCCCCUUAUGUCUUGGGCUUCACGCAUGCUACAAUGGCCGGUACAAAGGGCUGCGAUACCGCGAGGUGGAGCGAAUCCCAAAAAGCCGGUCUCAGUUCGGAUUGGGGUCUGCAACUCGACCCCAUGAAGUCGGAGUCGCUAGUAAUCGCAGAUCAGCAACGCUGCGGUGAAUACGUUCC